GGGGAGGUUUGAGCGACACUGAGCUCGGGGCUCGCCGGCGGCGGCGGCGCUGGGGUGGCGAGGGGAAGGCGACACUCGCUCCUCGCUGCCUUCGUGCAGAGCGACCGGGAGGGUUUUGCAGCGGCCGCCGCCGCCGCGGCGGGAGGAGGGGUUGAGGUGGCUUCUGAGUUAUCCGGAGAAGGUGGGCAUUUCUCGGUUUUCCCACCCCCUCCCCUUGUCUCCCCCUUGCCUUGUCUCCCCCCUCCCUCCUGCCCCGCACCCCACGUGAAGCGGAAUAUAAAGGGGGGUGUGAGACUAGAGGGGAAAGUGAAUGGCGAAGGACUGAAGGGGUCCCCCCUUCGGGUCCCUGGCCGCUCUGUUCACCCUCGUUCAUCCUCCCUUCCCGAAGCUCGCCCUCGAAGGCAGGAGCGGCCGGCGCCUUCGGCUGAGGAGGAGGAGAAGGAGGAACCGCGCCGGGCGGAGCGUCAGGUCCCGUUUUUCCUCCCCGGCGUCUUGAAUACAAAGCUUACGGUGCAGAAGGAAAUUGCACUCGCCUCCUCCGCCCCCCGGUACCCGACACAAUGCACCAGCCGCCUGAGUCCACCGCCGCCGCCGCCGCGGCCGCGGCCGCUGCAGACAUUAGUGCUAGGAAGAUGGCGCACCCGGCAAUGUUCCCCAGAAGGGGCAGCGGUAGUGGCAGCGCCUCUGCUCUCAGUGCAGCAGGUACCGGCGUUGCUAGUAGUGCCACAUCUUCCGAGGAUUUUCCGCCUCCGUCGCUGCUCCAGCCGCCGCCUCCUGCAGCAUCUUCUACGUCGGGACCACAGCCUCCGCCUCCACAAAGCCUGAACCUCCUUUCGCAGGCUCAGCUGCAGGCACAGCCUCUUGCGCCAGGCGGAACCCAAAUGAAAAAGAAAAGUGGCUUCCAGAUAACUAGCGUUACCCCGGCUCAGAUCUCCGCCAGCAUCAGCUCUAACAACAGUAUAGCGGAGGACACUGAGAGCUAUGAUGAUCUGGAUGAAUCUCACACGGAAGAUCUGUCUUCUUCCGAGAUCCUUGAUGUGUCACUUUCCAGGGCCACUGACUUGGGGGAGCCUGAACGCAGCUCCUCAGAAGAGACUCUAAAUAACUUCCAGGAAGCUGAGACACCUGGGGCAGUCUCUCCCAACCAGCCCCACCUUCCGCAGCCUCAUUUGCCUCACCUUCCCCAACAGAAUGUUGUGAUCAAUGGGAAUGCUCAUCCACACCACCUCCAUCACCACCAUCACAUUCACCAUGGGCACCACCUACACCAUGGGCACCACCAUCCAUCCCAUGCUGGUGUGGCCAGUACAUCCAUCCCCGGAGGGCCGCCCACAAGCCCAGUAUCCAGAAAACUCUCUGCCACUGGAAGCUCUGACGGUGUUAUACCAGCUGCAGCAACUUUUGCUGUAUCAUCGGGUGGCUCACCUGCAUCUGUCAUGACUAAUAUCCGUGCUCCAAGUACGACCGGCAGUAUAGGUAUAAGUUCCGUUACUGGCACUCACACAGUGCAUAAUGUCAACAUUACUGCUGUGGGUAGUUUUAAUCCUAGUGUGACAGGCAGCAUGCUUAGUAAUGCUCAUAUAAAUGCAAGCAAUAUUCCUAGUGCUGCUAGUGUGAGUGUUGGGCCUGGAGUUAGCAGCGGUGUUAAUGUGACUAUCUUGAGUGGCAUGGGCAAUGGUGCUGUUUCUUCCUCCGCUGGUGUUAACAGUGCCCCUAACGCAGCUGCAGGGAUGACUGUGGGACCAGUUUCAAGUCAGCAGCAGCAACCCACAGUUAACACGUCGAGGUUCAGAGUUGUGAAGUUAGAUUCUAGUUCUGAACCCUUUAAAAAAGGUAGAUGGACUUGCACCGAGUUCUAUGAGAAGGAAAAUGCUGUACCUGCUGCAGAAGCUGUGGCGAUAAAUAAAGUGGUGGAAGGUGUAAAACAAAACCCGGUAGAAGUGACUUCGGAGAGGGAGAGCACUAGCGGGAGCUCGGUGAGCAGCAGUGUCAGCACACUGAGUCACUACACGGAGAGUGUGGGAAGUGGAGAGAUGGGGGCCCCUACUGUGGUGGUGCAGCAGCCGCCGCCGGCUCUUCAGCAGAUGGACUUCGGUGGCCCCGGUGCCGCCGGCAUUUCUCAGUCACAGAUCACGCAAGUACCGUUACAGCCUCAAGAACUGAGCUAUCCUCAACUGCAAGCCCCGCUCAGUGCUGCAGCUGGUAUCCAGCCGUCACCUGUUGGUGUGGUUGGUGUAACUUCAGCUGUAGGUCAGCAGCCUUCCGUUUCCAGUUUGGCUCAGCCCCAGCUGCCAUACUCUCAGACGGCUCCUCCAGUGCAAGCCCCCCUUCCAGGGGCACCAGCCCAACAGUUACAGUAUGGACAGCAGCAGGCGGCUGUCUGUACGCAGACGGUCCCGAGCCAUGGUCAAGCAGUGACUCCGAAUCCCGCUGCAGAGUAUGUACAGCCGCAGCCGGUUCUUCAAACGGCGGUGUCCUCGGGACAGCCCAGUGCUGCAGGAGUGGCAGCAGGGACCACAGUGAUUCCUCCGGCCCAGCCGCAGAGUCUCCAGCUGCCCGUGCAGCCCGCAGCAGUCCAGGCACAACCUGCAGGGGCAUCUGGCCAGCCCGUUGGCCAGGCUCUCACGGCAGGAUCUGUUGCGCCUACUGGCAGUCAAAUUGCAAAUAUCGGUCAACAAGCAAACAUACCUACCGCGGUGCAGCCGCCCUCUACCCAAGUCACACCUUCAGUUACUCAGCAAGGUGCUCCUCCGUCGUCACAGAUAGGUCCACCCGCUCAAACUGCGAUUACUCAUCAGGGAGUUCAGACUAGUGCUUCGAGCCUCCCUCAACAAUUGGUCCUUGCCCCCCAGAGUACCUUGUUACCUGUGCCUCCCCAGCCACAAGGAGUAGAAUCAGUAGCUCAAGUUUCGCAGCAGUUGCCUGCAGUUAGUCCUCUGCCCUCUGCUAGUGGUGUUGCUGUUACCAGUCAGGUUAGUUCAGCGGGCCCUUCUGGAAUGCCUUCUGCCCCCACAAACUUGGUUCCACCACAGAAUAUAGCACAGACCCCUGCCACUCAAAAUGGGAAUUUGGUUCCAAGUGUUAGUCAGCCUCCCUUGAUAGCAACUAAUAUAAAUCUGCCUUUGGCACCACAGAUCCCGCUAGGCUCUACUCAGUUCUCUGCACAGUCCUUAGCUCAGGCGAUUGGAAGCCAAAUUGAAGAUGCCAGGCGCCCAGCGGCACCCUCCUUAGUGGGCUUACCUCAGACUAUGAGCGGUGACAGUGGGGCAAUGUCAGCAGUUUCAGAUGGGAGUAGCAGCAGCCUAGCAGCCUCUGCUUCUCUUUUCCCGUUGAAGGUGCUACCGCUGACGACACCCCUGGUGGAUGGCGAGGAUGAGAGCUCUCUAUUUCAGUGCUUCUCUCCUACCAGAGGUGCAAGGAGUGAUCCUAGAACCACAGAUACAGCCAAGACCACGGAGAGCUUUUGACGUCAGGGGUCCACUUUCUCCACUGAACCCUUGGAGGCAGAAUAUCCAGCUACUGGAGAGAGUGGGAAAGGAUAAUAAACAAGUAUCUUGAUAAUGGGAGACCGGUUUAUUUGUUCUCUAAUUGCCCAGAUUUCUUUCAACUGGUAAACAUCAUACUUCUUCAGCAAAAGGAACUCUUCUAGCAGAGCCUUCAUGGAUGAUCUCUGUCACACAUGCAGCACCUGCAGUUUGGAAGGCAGUGGUGAACGGAGCCACGCACUAUAUCUAGAAGACACAAGGAUGAGAGAGCCACCUGAUCUUGUCAUUUAUAAACUUUAAGAUUUAUUCUGGUGUACUCUUGGUCUGGAAAUGGAAAGGCUCAAAUAAUGAAACAAUUUUUUCAGAUUGGAGUUUUACAUGGCCAUGCAAAUAUUCCUUUCUAUUCAGAAGACUGAAAUAGAGGCAGUAUGAGAGACUCCUUUCUUUUAAAAGCAGCUCUCUGUUUCACUUAAAAGAUUUGUGGGAUUGAAAAUCACCUUAAUGAAGCAGGCAACCCCCCCCCCUUUUUUUUAAGUAUUAUAGGAGAUCCCAAAAACUUCUGGAACUGUUUUUUGUUGCCUGACACUGAAAAGAACUAGUAAAUAAAAAGGUGAAUUUCUUAAUUAUUCCCAAAUUACUUUUAGUAUUAGGAUACAGUCUUUAACUUCUCUUUUUCUGGUCUUGAGCCUUAAUUCUUAUUUGUCAAAUCAACAGAGAUUCCAGUAUGGAGUAGGAGAGACAUCUUUUGAGAUCAAAGUAGCUUGGGCAGUCUUCUAAAAUAGUAAAUACCUGUUAAAUUUGAGGUAUUGUUCUGCAUUAAAGGCAUACUAAAGUUUGAAUGAUACUGAAAUGAGAAAGUAUUUUAUAGAGCAAAGGCAAUAUUAGAAUAAGCCUCUACAUGUGAAGAAGUGUUGCGAAAUAGUUAUCCAAAUGGAAGGAGUUAUCAAAAUGUUUCUAUUUUUCUCUUUGGUAUCUAUUAACUGGUCAGUCAAAAGCUAUUAAAGAAGUUUUUAAAAGUUACCUGAUGCUGCCAGUUUGUUUUAUUUGGUAUACUUUUUAGGAAUAGAAAUUCUAGAGUUAAGCAUCUAAAUGUUUUAGGGAUCUUGAAGGUCUUAGGAACCACAUUUACUAAGUUUAUAACCUGGCCUUUAGUCUUUCUUUCCAUGAGACCUGUUUUUUUUUUUUUCUCACUAAUUAUAAAUUUUUGUAUAGUACUUAAAAGUUUAAAAGAUCAAUUUGAACUAAAAUUUCUGUAGGGAGCUCUGAAUUCCCAUGAAUGAUUACAGCUUUUUAUGCUUGAUUUAUUGUUGUUAAAUAUGAAUAAGACCGUCUUUACAAACACAUAAAUUAAAAAAUACCCACCAUUUUAGAACUCAGGGGAAAUGAAAGUGAAAUUUGCUUGGAAAUUAAGUUGAACUCUUUGAACCAUAGUACCAACCAGUUUAUGGCCUGUGCGAUUAUUAGCCUUUUGUUUCAGCUUUAAAGAUGAAAAGUGAUUUAAUCUCUUAACUUCAUGCUUUGAUUAAAUUUUAGCUCUGUUCCUUAAAGUGUGCAAAAGAAAUGUAAGUGCAUUUCCAUUCACCUCAUGCCACUAAAAGCUAUUUUAAAGUGAAACUUUUUGUAUAUUAAUGUGAACUGAUUUGUUUAUUUAAACUUUUAUUUUGAUACAUUUUCCUUUCAGAUUUUUUUAUAUUUCGUGUCACUAUGCAAUCCUAUAUUUUUCAGUGUUUAUUUUAUGAUUAUUAGUAUAAGCUAAUUUUUUUCCUAGAAUGACUAAUUGUGUAAUAUUUGUAUUAUGUGAUCAUUUGAAAACUAAUAAAUAUUUUCUCCAUGAAAAAAAUGCACUUACUGAUAAAUGGCUUAUUUUUGUUUCAGGAGUAGACAAUGAAAACAACAGUAUUUUUAAGUGUAUUUUAAUUUUAUGUGUCUUCCUCUAAGUAUUUCUGAAUAUAUAUCCUAUUCUUGUGUAAAUCUUUUUUGAAAAAAAUUUUCCAAAAACUAUUAAAUUAAAAUGAUUCUUCAUUGGGUCAUCCAGUGCCAAAUGUAUGAAAUAGGUGAUCUAUUUAGUCUUUUUUUUUUCCGUUUUCCUGAUUAGCUUCAUCUUUGUUUCCAGAAGUGGGUUUUUGUUUUUUUUUUUUCUUUAGAUGCUGUUUUGGUGUGUCCAUUUUGCAAACCAUUAAAACUCUUGAAAUAUUGUAAAUAUCAGGAAUAACAUGGUCAAAUCUUUUAAAGUGAGACUGAUCAAAAUAUAACCCCUUACAAAAUAGCAUAUAAAAGACAAAUCCUUGACCCAGAAAAAGAACAUCUGGAAAUAUUGGCUGAUUGGAGAACUACCCAAUUCACAAGAGCUGUUAACAGGAGAAGAAAGACGUUUUAUAUUUAAUGUUCUGUUUGAACAGAUAAUCGUAGAAGGAGAAAUCUUGAGAGUCUCUUGCUUUUAACCUUAUCAAGACAACAUGGAAAAGGAUAAAACUUGGUUUUUAUGAUUCUUUAUAGUUACAUAAACUUUAAAACUGAAGCCACUGGAACAAUUUACCUUUUCUAUGCAGAGUCUGCUAGAAGCAAGAGGGGUUUCUCUUUGAUUUGAAGAAAACAUAUAUAAGAAGUGGACUCCAAAGAUUAAAAACAUGGUGAUGGGGUCCUAGACAAGAAAUAAAAGUUGAAUUAAUGACAACUUGUGGAUUAAAAUGAAACCGUUUGGCUCCCCAAAGAAAUUAUACUCUGAAAAAAUAAAAAAGGAAAUUAUGAUUUAGAAUAGUUACUGUGUUUGGGGGGUAGAAGGAAGCUAAAAUCCUUGGCUUAAUUACUCUGGUAAGUUUGGAAAAGGAGUUAAGAUUCUGUGGAUAAAAUUUUGUUUUUAGAAUUAAAGCCAUUAAAAGAUUCACAGACAUAUUUCAAUAGAAGGCUGUAUUUUUUACUUGAAUACAAAAAAUUUAUAAGCCUUAACUAUAUAUGCAAAAGAGUGGGUUGUGUGAGGGGUUAAAUAAAAAUUCUGUACCAGAAACUUCAGACAUACUGUAAAAAUAAUGGUGAAAUGAGAGUUUUAAAUACUUUAAUUUUUAUCACGUGGACUCUUCCCUACACUGUGUUCAAAAUAAAAACAUGAGAGAAUGUUAAACAUGGCUUACCUUUAUAUCUUUGAGGUAUAAGAACAUAGGCUUAUUGUUUCACCAUCAUUCAUUGGAUUAACUAUAAUAAUAAAAUUUUGUUUUUGUUCUUUAGUGAGGAGACAAAAUAGCUUUUGUUUAAAAAAAGUAAAUGUCACAUAAGCAGUGUGUCUGACAAAGUACUGACCUUACAGUUUGUUGUUUACGAGCUCAGAUCUUAUUCUUACUUUACUUUGCUAUAUUGAAACAAUUGAGCAAAAUGUCCUAAGCAAUUGCUUGCUUUUUAUUCGGGUAUUUUUAUUUGCCAUUAAGAAGAUUGCCUAAAAUGUGAAAGAUUUUUGUUUUCAAAAAUAAGCACAUAGGUGCUCUAAAAUUCUUUUCCACUAGUAUCCUCUAAGGUAAUUAGAUUACUGCAGUAAAAAUGUUAGGGAACUUCAAAGUAUGCUUCGGAGUUUUCAGGAAUUAUGAUCAAAGGGAUCUCUACUCAAGAGGUAAGGUAUGGCAUAGGUAGAAAAAUGUUAAAUGUGUUCAGUGUAAUGUCUGAUGGUAAAGUCAACUUACAACAGAUAUCCUUGGAUUUUCAGACAGGUGUAGAAUUAGGAAAAUAAUUUUUCUUAAAAAUCUCUCCCAGAAAAAAGGAUGAACCACAGAUGUGUUUUUGUAGUACUUUGGAGUGCAUUUAGAUACAUACAUCCACAGACAUUGUACCUUUGGUGUACUUAGCCUCCUAUAUUUCAGGGCAUCUUUUACCUGUGCUCUUAGUGUUUAUCAUCCAUUUUUAAUUUAGUAUUUCUUAAGCUCUGAGCACUAUUAAAAUAUUAUACUUUGUAUGGAAAGUUGAGUACAUAUUCCAUGAGAUUAUUGCCUGGCUUCAUUUUGCCUGUUUUACUUACAUGAUAUCUAGAACCUAGAAAACAGUUGUACUGAAUAAUUUUUAUCUUGGUUUGAGAAAUUAAUUUGAGUUUUAAAAGCAUUCAUUUAUGCUGUAACUUAGGGGAAUUUGUUAUAUAAGGCUUAAAAAAUAAUGUUGGGUAGUAUAUAAAAUCAUUUAGAGAAAAAAGUUAUGCUGUUAUUCUCUGAGGAAUAUUAAGUAGGUUCACAGAGUGGAGUGUUAGCAUAUACUAUUUAGUAUAUCUAGAAUCAAAGGAAAAUGCGAUAUUCAAUACAAAUGAUUUAGAAAAAUGAUUUAGGUUUUUUUUUUCCCCCUAGAAAUAUUAGUAUGGUUUAUUCAAUAGAUGGUAACAUAGAAACCACAAUAAUCUUCCAUCCUAUCUUUUAAUUCUUAUUAUAAGAACACUAGCUUGUGGACAUUUGGUGUUUAAUUAAAAUAGUUGGCUGUGUCUGUUCUACUUUCACCUUUAUGGUGGAGCAAAUGAUAAUGAUGAUAUGUGAACUAGAGCGAGAACUCGCUACUUGAUGAGAUAGAUGAUUUCAUGUCCAGGAUGCCCUCAUGGUGAGAAGUGGAUCCAGGAUUUGCUUCCAUGUCAUAUUUUAUUUGAAAAUUACCAUAGGCAUUAUCUAGUUGAGCACCCUCAUUUUAUAUACAAAGGAAUGAAUAUCCAGGAAUAUCUCCUGUAUUUCUGAUACCACACAGUGGAUCCACAAUUGUAGGACCCAACUCUCUUGACUGCAAGCUCAGAGAUCUGUACUCUGCUGCCUCCUCAUGUUGUUCCUAGUUCUGGAGGACAUAAAGCAAGUCUGAUUUCCUUCAACUCUGACGGCCUCCAGAUGUUUUAAGAUGGCUGUAAUACUGUAUUAAUUUCAAGCCCGUUCUGUUGUUGCUUUUAUUUUUAAAUAGAUUAAGCACCUCCAUCAUACUGCCCUUAUUCAUGCAACAUAGUUUUGGAAUCCUUAAAGGUUUUUUUAGAUCUUCCCUGAACAUGCUUCGGUUCAUCGUUGUUCUUAAUGUGUGACAGCUCAGUACAGGUUUGUUCAGCCUCUUCGGCCCUAGAGUCCUCAUGUCACUUUGUUUAUCCGUACAGAUACAGCAAAGUGUUUGAUUUUAUGCACAGAAUGUUCCAUAGUGAUCUGCAGAAUAAUUUGCACCUAAAAAUUAGUCUAGUAGUCUUUAUGUACAGGCAAAUGUGUACAGUUCAGGGGGAAAGAGAAAACAUCUAAUACCUAAGACCUUGAGAAGUCAUAAUUUAAGAAGUACGGUCUUCCAUUUUUUUGCUUGCUUAGUUCUGACUCAGAUUACUAUCCAUUCCAUUUUAAAUGACUUGUAUAAUGUGAAAUGUUAUUUUUCAGGUUGUCCUUGCUAAUUUAAGGGUAACCAGGCCCGUUGGAGCUAAACUGUUGACAUGUGACUGAUAAUGAGAAGAAAAUCAACUUGUGUUUAGUAACAUAAUUAGAAACAAAAAGCUGCUUCAGUGGAAAGGUUUGGGAUCUAUCCCAAACAGCAGAAGAUGGUGAAGUAGCCGCCCUGGAAAUCUGAGAAUGUGGCCUUAGUUCUAAUGAAGGCAUAGUCUUAUGUUGCCUCUUGAAAUAUAGUGUGGAUACUCUGCUAGAGCAAUGUUUUAGCAUAACAGCAUUUUAAACUACCAAUUAAAUAUUUAGCUUUUUCUCACUUAAAAUUUUAAGUUGAGCUCCUGUAAGGCACAAGGUAUUGUUUAAUGGUUACAUGUACCUUGCAGGGUAUACGUUUACCUUUGAGAAAUACUCGUUUGAAAUUGGGUGUAUUAUCCUACCUGAGUUAGAAUUCUGGGGCAAAUGAGGGAGAAAAGAACACACCCAUGCCUGCUCUGUGCAGCUUUGGCCAGCUGGCCUUAAUUUAAUCCAACUGACCUGUGAGAAAGGUGAUUAUUUUUUUUUUUUCGGUUUAUGCACAAAGAUGCUGAAGCCCAGAGGCUUCAAAAUCUGCUGGAGGGCACAUAAUCAGUAAGCAACAGAGAUGGCAUUUGAAAGAUCUGUCAAAAUAGAAAUAAUUCUGUUGCACCAUUGAUUGCCAAACAUCUUUACCAGAAAGAAUGCAUAUUCUCAGGAACAUUUUUUUAUAGAACAUCAGUGUUUAAAGUAGAUAAAAGGGAUAUUUUACUUAGUAUGCAUUUUUAAAUCGACUCUUUUUUAAAAAGUAAUUUUAGUUUUACAGGAAAAUUGACAAGAAAGUACAGAGACCUCACACCCCACCAACCAUAUACCCAGUUUUCCCUCCCAUAGUUUUCCUUAUUAACCUCUUGCUUCUGUGUGGCACAUUUGUUGCAAUUAAUGAACUAAUAUUGAUAGACAUCAUUAGGGUUUACUCUUGUAUCAUACAGUUCUUUGGAUUUUGCUAAAUAUUUUUGUAUCAAUGUUAAUGAGAGAUACUGAUCUAUAAUUUUCCUUUCUUGUAAUGGCUUUGUCUGAUUUUGAUACUAGAUUUGCCUCAGAAUGAAUGAGGAAUUGUUCCCUUUGUUCCUACUUUCUGAAAGAGAUUGCAGAAAGUUGGUAUCAUUUUGUUAAAUAUUUGGUAGAAUUCAUCAGCGAAGCCAUCUGGGCUUGGUGUUUUCUCUUUGUGAAAGUUAUUAAUUAUUGAUUCAGUUUCUUUAAUACAGAUAACCUUAUUCAGUUUGUUUCUUCUUGAGUAAGUUUUGGCAGAUUGUAUCUUUUAGGGAAUUGGUUCAUUUCAUCUAAGUUUUCAAAUUUGUGGUGAGAGAGUUGUUAAUAAUACUCCUUAAUAGCCUUUUAAUGUCCAAGGGACUGGCUGUAAUGACCCCUCUUUCAUUUGUAAUAUUAAUUGUCCCUUCUUUCCUUUUCAUUGUUAGCCUGGCCAGAGGUUUAUCAAUUUUAUUGAUAAAAUAGCCAGAUUUUGGUUUUGUUUUUUCUCUAUUUUACAGUUUUCAGUUUCAUUGAUUUCUGCUCUAAUUUUUAUUCUAUUUGCCUUAGGUUUAUAUUGGUCUUCUUUCUAAGCAUUUUUUGUACUAUCCCAGUAUUUUGAUAAGUUGUAUUUUCAUCUUGUAGUUUGAAAUAUCUUAAAAUUUCUCUUGAGAAUUUUUUUUUUUUUUACACCAAUGUGUUAUUUGGAAGUAAGUUUUUAAAUCUCCAAGUAUUUUGGGAUGUCCAUCUACCUGUAAAUACUUGUUAUUCGUCACUGACUUUAAUUCUGCUGUGGUUUGAGAACAUACUUAGUGUUAUUUCUAUUCUUUUAAAUUUUUUAUGAUGUGUUUUAUGGCCCUUAAUCAUGGUGAGUGUUUUCGUGUGAGCUUAAGAAGGCAUAUUUUGUUGUUGGAUGAAGUAUUCUUUAGGUGUCACUUAGGUCCAGUUGAUUGGUGCUGUUCAGUUCAACUGUGUCUUUAUUGAUAUUCUGCUUGCUGGAUCUGUCAAUUACUGAUAGGGAUAGAACAGUGUUGAAGUCGUCUUUAAGUAUAAUAGUAGAUUGAUUAAUCAGUUUCUUAUUUUAGUUCUGUCAGUUUUUGCCUCAUAUAUUUUGAUGUGCUAUUGUUAGGCCAGGGUGUAUUAAUAAGGCUUGUUAUGUCUUCACGGAGAAUUGAUCCUUUCAUUACAUAAUGACUCUCUUUAUCCUUGGUAACUUUUUCUUGUUCUGAAGUUUGCACUUCCUGAAAUUAAGCUAUUCUAGUUUUAUUUUGAUUAGUGUUAUCAUGGUGUAAUUUCUUUAUCCUUUUACUUUUAAUCUACAUAUAUCUAUAUAUUUGAAGUGGGUCUUGUUUUUUUAUCCACUUAGUAGUCUUUGUCUUUUAAUUGAUUUAUUUCAGCUAUUUACAUUUAAAGCAAUUAUUGAUAGAGUUGGAUUAAUGUGUUGUUUGUAACUUUUCAUUGCCUUUGUUCUUUUAAAAUUUAUUUUGCCUUCCCCUUCUUUAUUUUUUCUGAUCUUGAGUAUUGAAUAUAAUUCUAUUUUCUCUCUUACCAUACUUCUAAAAUUUUUUUUAAUUAUUGCCUCAGAGUUUGCUGUAUACAUUUAUAAAUAAUCUGUCUUCAAAUAAUACAUACCACUUCAGGGGUAGUGCAGGUACCUUAUAAUAGAAUCUUUCUGCUUUUUCUCUCCCAUGCCUUAUAACAUUGCUGUCCUUUAUUUCACUUUUCCAUAAGCUAUAAUCAACCAAAAUAUUGUUGCUUUCAUUUUGAACAAACUGUGUUAAUAUCAAUUUAGAGUUUUAAAAAGAAAAGAUUUUGUUUUGCCUUUUGAAACUACUUCUCUGAUGCUCUUUCAAAAGGAAAUUGUGUAGACCCGUGACCUAUACAAUCUUUCUUUUCUUUGGAGAACUUAUUUUAGCAUUUCUUUCAAGGCAGGUCUACUGGUAACAAAGUCCGUCCAUUUUUAUGUGAGAAAAUGUCUUUCUCUUCUUUAAUUUUGAAGGAUACCUUUGCUGUAUACAGAAUUCUAGAUUGGUAGGUUUUUUUUUCUUUCAACACUUUAUUCAUUCUGUCUUCUUGUUUGUAUGAUUUUUGAAGAAAUAUCUGAUGUAAUUCUUAUGCUUAUCCUCUAUAGGUCAGGUUUCUUCUCCCCUACUCCUACCUCUGGCUUCUUUCAAGAUUUUUCCUUUGUCUUUGAUUUUCUACAGUGUGAAUGUCAUAUGCCUAAGUGUGGAUAUUUUGGAUUUAUCCUGUGUCAUAUUCUCUGAGCUUCCUGGAUCUGUGCUCUAGGGUCUGUUAUAAAUUUUGGAAAAUUCUCAACCAUUAUUUUUUCAAGUAUUUCUUUAGUUCCUUUCUCUUCUCCUCCUGGUGUUCCCAUUGUGCAUAUGUUACCUCUUUUUAAAUUGUCCCAUAGUUUUUGGAUGUUCCUUUUUUCCCCUCUUUUUUCAGUUUAGAAAGUUUCUCUUGACAUGUCUUUUAGCUGUAGUGCAUUCUUCAUUUCUGACUUUGAUUUUGAGUCCUAACAUUUCUUUUUGAUUCUUUCUUAGAGUUAUAUUACCCAUUCGUUUUUGCAUGUUAUCCCCUUUUUCCAUUAGAGCUUUUAGUGUUUUCGUAGUUACUUGAAAUUAUUGGUCUAGUAGUUCAAACAUAUCUGCCAUAUCUGAAUCUGGUUUUGUUGCUUGUUUUGUGUAUUCAGAUUUUGUGUGUAUUUUUUUUUUUAAUCUUUUAGGGUACCUUAUCAUUUUUUGUUAAAUGCCAGACAUGCUGUAUUGGUAAAGGAACUUGGGCAAAUAGGUCUGUAGUGAGGUUUUAUGUUGAUCUGGUUAGGUGUUAGUCUGUUUACUAUUUGUUCUACCUGUAUGUGUCAGAGGCUGAAAUUACCUCUAAUGUGCUUUUUUUUGGACCAAUCUGUAUUCUUGGGAUUCCUUAGAGACUUCUUUAUAAAUAGAAUCUUAGUUUUGCCAUUCUUUCAGUAAUUCCCUGUUGAUGUUAGUGGGUAAGGUGUGGGGUUAGGGGAAGUGCUUUGUGGUCCUAUCAUUAGGUCUCAGUUUUUUAGUGGACUCUGCUGUUGGCUUUCACCUUCACAAGUGCCCCCCUUUCCCCAUAUGAGACAUGAAGGGUAGAAAGGGCCUGAUUUGAAUACUUCCCUUUCUCCAUUUUGUUAGGCUUUGGUAAAAUAAUAUUCCUUGUGGGCAGCCCUUUGUUAAGGAGAAUGAUAUGCUCUGGGUAUAUUUCAAAAUGGUUACUUUUCCUUCUCCUGCUUCCAGAAGUAGAGGAGAUUUUUCUCUGUUCUUUACCCUGCAAACCUGAUGGGGCUUCUGGAGAUAAAAUUCAUGGAAAUGUAAGAGGCCCCAUAAGGUUGAUUUCCUAGGAGUUUUUAAUCUCUCAAGCGUAUGUGCUCUCUGUCUAGCAGUUAGUUUCUUUUACGUUUUUCUACCCAGGUGGCUCCAGUGGUGGUUUCUCCUAGUAAGCUGCUGAUAUUUGUAUUUGCCUGGUUCUUCAGUUUUGGAGCUGCAGGUUGGUCCUGUAACCUUGGUUCUCUGAUGGAUCCAAGAGGAGGUGUUGAUUUUCAGUUUAGUUUUUUUCUUGUUGUGUGCUCAGAAGUGACAACUUUUACUUGUUGGACUGGAAACUGGAAGUCACUGAGCAUUUUUAAAUAUUCGAAUUUGCCUUCAAUUUGGUUUGUGUCCUUACACAAGUAAUGGAGAUUUCUAAGCCAUUAUAGUUAUUUAAUUUGGUUCAUUUAAUCCUAUUGAUCAUCCACCUACUAAAUUGCAUACAUCUCCUAAACAUUGGUGAUAAUUAAGAUGCUUCUGCCCUUGUACACCUCUUUUCAAAGUCUUUUGCUCUUUUUGUUGUCCUCUAGAUCCUGGAUGUAUCUCUUGUAUCUUGUCAAGGACUUUGUGGCUUUAGUACUUUCUCUUUUUAUGAGAAAAUCUCCCUCUCUAUUGAAUCCUUAAUGUAUCUGGUUAUGUAGUCCUAUAUUAAGAAAAGGAACUUUGAUUCUUUCCCCACCCUCUAACUUCUGCAGUCUCUGUUCACUCUUACUGUCUACUCAUAACGUUACAGUUUCUCAAAUUUUAUUUACUUUUCAAUCUAUUCCAAUCUGGCUUUUGCAUCUGAUACCACUAGGACUGCUCUUGUCAAAGUCACCCAGGUCCUCGCUGUUGCCAAAUCCACUGGACACUUACCUGUGCCUUUUUAUUUGAUCUUUUAACAGAAUUCAGUGUAGUUGAACACUUCUACCUUCUGAAAUGCCCUUUUCUUGACUUCCAUAACAGCAUAUGCUUUUGGUUUUCCUCCGUGCCUUUACUUUAUAGUUGCUGUUGCUGGUCUUAACUCUUUCAUCCAACUAUGGAAAGUAGUUCAGUGCUCAGCCCUUGAGCUUUUCCUUUAACCUCUUCUCCCUUUACACUUAGAUUAUUUAUUUAUUUAUUUAAGUAAUCUCUACACCCAACAUGGGGCUUGAACUCAACCCCAAGAUGAAGAGUUUCAUGCUCUUCUGACUGAGCCAGCAAGGCGCCUCUACACUUAGAUGAUCUUAUCCCUUAUCAUGGCUUAAUACUUCUGUUAACUCUGCCCCAGUUUUUAUCUCCCUCUGUCCCCAGCCCUUCCUCAAAGCUCCAGUCUUGAUAUUCACUUGGAUAAUUAAAAAAAGUAAAAUGUUCAAUCCUGAACUAUUUUUAUUUUUCUCUUAGUCUUCCAUAUCUCAAUGGAGCACCACUGUUGAUCUCAUUAUGUGAAAAACCAUGGAGCGAUCUCUUCCUCAUCUCCCAUAUACAGUAUCUUCAUUAUUCAUUAGUUCAAUUGUUUGCUUUUGGACUUUUAAAACAUUAUUUAUAGCAGUUUUUUAAAUUUAUUUUUUAUUUUAAGUAAAUGCUUUGCUGCACGUGGGGCUCAAACUCACAACCCUGCAAUCAAGAGUCACAUGCUCUACUGGCGGAGCUAGCCAAGCGCCCCUAUUUUUUUUUUUUUUUAAAGAUUUUAUUUAUUUAUUUGAGAGAGAGAGUGAGAGAGAGAGCACAUGAGAGGGGGGGAGAGUCAGAGGGAGAAGCAGAUUCCCUGCCGAGCAGGGAGCCCGAUGCGGGACUCGAUCCUGGGACUCCAGGAUCAUGACCUGAGCUGAAGGCAGUCGCCCAACCAACUGAGCCACCCAGGCCCCCUAAGCGCCCCUAUUUAUAGCAGUUUUAAGUUUAUAGAAAAAUUGACCAAAUGGUACAGAAUUUCUAUCUUGAUUCCCCCUUCCUCUUUUCCGACUGGUUCUUCAGUUUUGGAGCUGGAGGUGCCAACAUCUUGGCAUUUAUUUUGUACAUUUGUUGCAGCAGAACCAGUUUUGAUACAGUAAGGUCCACAAUUUACAUUAGGAUUCACUUACUGCAUCAUACCAUUCUUUGGGUUUUGCUAAAUGCAUAAUGUCCCAUAUCCACUCUUAGGGUAUCUUACAGAAGAGUUUCACUGUCCUUAAAAAUCCUUUUUGCUCCACCCUUUCAUCCUUCACUAUUCCAAUCCCUGGCAAUUACUGAUCUUUUCCUGUGUUGUUAGUUUUGCCUUCUCCAAAAUGUCAUGUAUUUGGAAUCGUACAGUAUGUAGUCUUUUACAGUGGCUUCUUUCAUGUUGCAAUAUGCAGUUAAUGUUCCUCCUUGUCUUUUUGUGACUCCAUAGCAUAUUUCUUUUUAUCACUGUCUAGAUCUACCACAGUUUAUUCACCUAUUGAAGUACAUCUUAGUUGCUUCCAAUUUUUGGCACUUAGGGAUAAAGUGCUGUAAACAUUCAUGUGCAAAGUUUUUUGUGGACAUAUAUUUUCAGCUCAUUUGGAAAAAUAUCUAGUAGUGUGAUUGUUGAAUCUUAUGGUAAGCCUAUGCUUAGCUUUGUGAGAAACCACCAAACUGUCUUCCACAGUGGCUGAACCAUUUUGCAUUCUCACCAGCAGUAAAUGAGAGUUCCUGUUGCUCCACAUCCUCACUGGUGUUUUGUGUUGGUGUUUUGGAUUGUAGCUACUCUAAUAGGUGCGUGGUGGUAUUGCUGUUUUAACUUGCAGUUCCCUGGUACUAUGACAUCCUUUCAUAAGCUUCUUGUCCAUUUGUGUAUCAUCUUUGGCAAGGUACCUGUUUAGAUCUUUUGCCCAUUUAAAAAAAUCAGUUUUUGUUAUUACUGUGUUCUAAGAAUCCUUUAUGUAUUUUAGAUACCAGUCCUUGACCAGGUAAGUGUUUUGCACAUAUCUUCUCCUAGUCUGUGGCUUGUCUUCAGUCUCUUAACAGUGUCACUUGCAAAGCAGCAGUUUUAAAUUUUAAUGAAAUCUACUUCAUCAAUUUUUUCUUUGGUGGAUCAUGCUUUUGGUGCUGUAUCUAAAAACUUACUGCCAAAUCCAUGGUUGCCUAGAUCUUCUGUGUUGUCUUGUGGAGGUUUUACAGUUUUGAGUUUUAUAUUUAGAUCCAUGAUCAGUUUUGAGUUAACUUUUUUGAAUAAACAUUUUUUUUUUUUUGCAUGGGAUGUCUGGUUGUUUUAAUACCAUUUUUUAAAAAAGGCUGUCUUUUCUCCUUUGAAUUGCUUUUGCUCCUUUUUCAUAGCUCAGACUUACCUCCUAAGUCUUUCUCAAACUUGUCCACAUCUUACCAUUUUCAUCUAUUAACCUCCCCUCCAAGCUGCCAUCCCCUCUUGCCUGAACAGUAGCACUUACUGGUCUUCUCACUUUAUCUCUUGACCCCUGCAUUCUUCACAGAAUAUGACUUACUACAAUUUUUUUUUAAGAUUUAUUUAUUUGACACAUAGAGAGCACAAGCAGGGGGGAGGGGAGAGGGGGAGGGAGAAGCAGGCUCCCAACAGAGCAAGAAGCCAGAUGCGGGGCUCCAUCCCAGGACCCUGAGAUCAUGACAUGAGUCAAAGGCAGACGCUUAACUGACUGAGCCACCCAGGUGCCCCUGACUUAUUACAAUUUUAAGGCAUAAAUAAGAUCAUGUCUGUUUUCUGCUUAAUGCUACUUGCUUCCUUUUAUAAAAACAAUAAAAUCCAAAUUCUUUAUCAUGGCCUAUUAGGCCUUAAAUGAUCUUGCCCUGACUUUUCCUCAGUUUUACCCUUGCUUCUACUCUCCAGACAACCUUGGGCUUCUUUAGUCUCUGAAUUAUUUAAAUUAUUUUUUCCCUACCUUAGGGGAUUCAUAAUCAUGGAAUGCCUCUUUUCCUGCUUUUAGGUCUGAGCUUAGAUGUUUUCAGCAGUGCCUUCUCUAGUUAGUAUAUUGUAAUCAUCCAGUUCUAGAUCUUGCCUUUCAUUCUCUGUUCUGAUUUCUUCCUAGUAUUUUUGUCAACUUAAAAGCAUAUAUUGUUCAUUGCCUGUCUCCCUGCCACCAGAGAUCACGGUUGUCUUAUUUAUAUUGUUUUUAGCACCUGGCACAAUAGUUGCCUCAUAGUAAGCACUGAACAUGUAUUUUAAUGGAGGAGACAUGGGCCCGGCCUUUGAAAUGCCCAGAUCUAGCGAGGGAGAUCCACACAGACGCAGAUGAAUUGCAGCGCCACGGUAGUGCUAUCGGAGUUGUAGGCCCAGAAAAUAAGAGAUGAAAGGUUAAAAAAGAAAUCUCUGAAAUUCUCACUAGUGUCAACUAGUGAUUACAACAGUCAGCUUAUGAAGUCUUAUUGCCGAGGCUUCUUAGCCAUUAAUUUAUAUAUUAUUUGCUAAUGUGGGAGUCAGUAUAACUCUCGUCCUAGCAAUUCCAGACUUAGGAUCUUCAGUGUCGGGAGAACCCAUCAUGCUGUAGGGACAGUGUCUGUGCAAAGGCGUGGUCUCCAGCCCAACAAGAGGCCCGACAGCAUACUGACUCUAGAGUCAGGGCUUGCUUUUGAAUACCCAGUGCUGCCGGUUACCUGGGGCAGAUCACUUCACUUCCCUGGGCCUUAGUUUCCCCAUCUGUGAAGGAGCUAACAAACUUAGAACGUUGUUUUGAGGAUAAAAUGGGCGAAUAUAUAUAUAGCACCUUUACUAUGUGCCCUGUCCUGCAAUAAAGGAAAGUGUUUCCGUUAUCCUAUAAAGGCCUCAUUUAAGUAAAGUUUUAUUACUUUAGGAUAUACUUACACUGAGUAACAUGCAGCUCUCUCCACAGGCCCCUCACUUCCUACUUUACAGAGAAAAGACUUCAUUCUCCCGAUGGCAGACCUAAGUCGUGCCUUUGUAGCACUCCUUUCUUCUCUCCUGUGCACGCCAUCAUAUCACCUCUGCUUUCUUAUUUGUCCUAACAUUUUAUUAUCCCUCCUUUCUUUUCAUCUUUACCUUCUUCUUUCACCUAAUUCCUUCUCUAUAAACAUGUUAAAGUCUCUCCAAUUAAAAAAAAGGUAACUGUCGCUACUGCCUUCUCCCUCAUCUCCGUACCCAAACUCAAACACAAACUUACAACAUUCUCUCCAUUUAUUGCUUCCAGCACCGCUCCCUCCACGGCCCACUCUGGUUUUGUUUCUACGUCUUAAUAAGGUCAUCGAAAUAAUACUGUUGAGGUUAUCAGUGACCUCGUCACCGAAUCAGAUGGACAGUGCUCUUUCAGCCGCAUUCAACACGAUUGAUGUCGUUCUCUUCACAUUUUUGGUUCCGUGGGUCUUUACUUCUGAUUUCCUUGUAGCUUUUCGGUGGUUCUUAGUCUCAUUUGCAGACUCUUCUCAUUCUACCGAGGUUUUAUUUCAUAUGUUGGGAUUUCUAAGGUUGAAUCCUUGGUCAUGAUGUCAGUUCAUUGUGCAUCUGGGUCCAUAGUGCAGAUUCGUACCUUUGUAAUGAGGAUUCAAGUUUAAUAACAUGGGUCCAACUUGGCAUCUCUUACGUGCGCUCCAAGAGCGCUUGAAACAUAUUUUAUGAAUUUAUGAUCUCCCCCCCACCCUUAAAUCUGGGCUUCCUUUACCAUUCCUCAUUUUAGUGAAUAUUACCCCAGUCCAUCAUCCAGUCUUGUUUAUUUUUGUGUCUAAAAUAUCUCAACAACUUGUUUCUCUGUUUUCACUACCCCGGCUCAGUCCACUAUUUCCUGACUUGAGCUAUGACAAUUCUAAUUGGUUUCCUUGUAUAGACCCUGGUGUGCUAAUCGAAUUCAGUCUCCACAAUGCAGCCAGAGUGAUGUUUCUCAAGACACAAAUUUAAUGAUAUUCCUUUAAUUAAAACACUCAGUUGGCUUCCUAUUGCUCUUAAGAUCCACAGGAAGGAUUGAGACAAAAAUCCUUAAUACUACAAUUUAUGAAACCCCGAAAGACCAAGUCCCUAUUUUUCUCUCCAUUUGCACCUUUGGCCCAAUGGUGUUUUUCUUCUCUCUCAUCCUUCAUGGUCUCAGCUCAGUGGUCAUUUCCUUACUUCAGGAACACCUCCUCUGAUGUUCUUCAGUAGGUUAGAUCAGCAUCCUUUUGCUCUCACAGUGCCAUGAAUAUGCUAUCUCAUUGCCUAUAGUCAUGGUUUUACAUUUGUGUGUGCCAUUUCUCCCUCUGCCUAAAAGGCCCCGAGAGGCCAAGGAUCAUGUUUACUUUUAUCAUUUGCCAGUGCUUAGCACAGUAACUGGCUUAUAUCCAUCAUUUCAGUGAUUCUUACGAUGACGAUUUUAUUUUUCUUUUACUAAGGAAUAAAAAAGUAAAUAAGCCAGUGCAAAAGAAGCUCGCAAUAUUGAAAGAAUUUUCUAUAAAAGCUGAAUUAGCUUGAACUCUGUAACAUUUUCUCCCAGCCCCCUGCCUUUCUAUGAUUGUAAAAGAAAUGUUAUUUAAGAAAAAAAUUCUGGAGUCUAUUUCUAGAUCCUGAUACUUUGUGAAAAUAAUUGACACUCAAUAAUGGUUCCACUAUUCAGGCCUUCCAAAACAGAAACAUUAGAUUUGUUUCUAACUUUGCAGAUAAAUAUUCAAGUUAGUUUUGAUUUGGCUUUUAAGUGUAGGUUUGAUGACUUUCUGAACUCUCAAGUGAUUCUGACUUGUGAUCGUAUCUGGGAAGGGAUACUUAGUGAUAAUUUUAGUUUAAGAACACAAGAAUUUUUAAAUUUAGGGUGAGGUGUAGUGAAUCAUUGCUUGUUUGCUUGUCUAGCUCUUCAUUAAUUUAUCCUUUCUUUUUUUCUCAUGCUUUUGUUUUUUAUAGGAAGAUUACCCACUGUCAGCAUUUCUGUUUUCAUUCCUCACUUCAGGACAUUCUCUGCACCAUUCCUAUAGGGGGUUGAAAAGGUCAUUUCCAUAACAGGUUAAAUUUUUGCCUUGACUCAGUUUAUUUUUCAUUUUAGAGAAGUUUAGCAUGAAAAGGCUCAGUUUGCCAUUUAACGCUGGAUGUUUCUCAAAGGAAAGUUUCAAAAAUGUAUCAAAAAAACCUUUGUAAUUUUAGGGCCUGUUUUGCUAGGUUCUGAAUAAUAAACACUCCUGGCAGCCUGGCAUUUGGUAGUUGGAAUAAACUAAUCACUUCAGCCUUUUGCAAUCACUUAAAAUACUCAUUAACUGUGAGUCAUUGUUUUGAAAUAAUGUACAUUGUAGCUCUUUUUGUUUUUCUUGCCUGAAUUGCGUGACAUUCCUGAGAACAGCUUUGUGGCACCUCUGAGCUUAGUGUACAUUUUUAUUCUCAAAAUUGGGUGUUCCAAAGUAUAUUGCUGGACAACAAACUAUCCCCAUCCAGUCAGAUUGGUAGGACAUGUCCUUUUGUAGGGCUCAAGAGUCCACUGAGGCAUAGCACUUCUUGCUGAGGUACUGAUGAGAAGUUUAUUAUAAUAAUUUAUUUGGAGAAAAUGUAUAUGUUGUUUGAAUUAACAGGGAACUAAUUAUCUCUGGCAUCUUAAAAACAUAUAAACAUGUUCCUUUGCUAAAUGAUAGAACUGCAUUUAUUUUCCUAAUUAAAUUUGUAGUAGUCCUUUGAAAGCAGGUAAGAACCUUCAUAUUUAUUGAACAGUUAGAAGUCAGUUACUAUUAUCACACGGACUAAAAUAUGUCUGUAUAAAAGGGCUUAUUAAAUACUUCCUAAAAUUUGUAAAGUUUUAAUUAUGAAGACUCAGUAAUUUUUUCCCAAGUUAAUUUUUAUUCAAACGUUUUAAGUAUGUAGUCUUUUUUUUUUUCCCCAGGUUGGUGGCAUUCUUUAUGUUUUCUAACAAGACUUUUCUUGACGGAAAAUGUGACUUAAUAAUCAUGAACUCUUACGUUUUUCAGUGUUGUAUUUGGAAAGUCAUUAAGAACAAUCUUGUAGUGGCUAUCAGAUUUUUAAAAAUAAUUAGCAGCUUCACUUCCACUUUUCAUAUAAACCAGAGCCUUGGUAUUUUAGCUGCAAAAUUCGGUACGUUGAGAACGAAAACCAGUAGUCACCUUCUAGAAGUCAGCUUUAUCCCCUGAACUCUUUGUGCUGGUGGUGGAUAUAGGACAGUCUGAAUGAAGACCCACUUAAGGCACAUUUUCUCAUUAAGUAGUCUAAAUUCCAAACCUUUGUUUAAAUGUAUUAAUUCACCUUCCUGCAGUGUAGGUUCUCAAUAGGUCAAUAUGGCCAAUAUCAAUAUGGGCAAAUUUAGAUUGCCUUUUUCACCGAGUUCACUAAAAAUGUCAGGUUACCUAUAAUGGAGAAGAGGUUAUUCUAAAAGAUUCAUCACCUCUUCUACAUUCUUGGAAAUGUAAUUUUGACAUGAAGGUUCCACAAGGAAAGAAGAUACUUAUAUGCACAUUCUAACCUUAUAAUUUUUCAGUGAAAAAUUGAGUACUAUUUAUUGGCUAUGCUUUGGGGCAUUAUCUUAUUUUCUAUUUAAUUUUGGCUUCUUGAUAGGAAACGGACUAAAUUUUUUACAUAAAUCAUUUUUUUUAUUGUUCACUUCAAUAAAUCUUAAGUGUUUUUUAAGUUCACCCCUAAUAUAAGUACAUAUUUUGAGUGUGCAGCUAUGAGAGGUUUUUUUUUUUUUUAAGAUUACUCUCAACAUUUCAGUACAAAUUACAAAAUGAUGAUGUUCUAAAACAUCCAUCUUUAAAAUUUCUUUGUCAUAGGAAGUACCCCAGAAAAGCAGUCAAUCUCUCAUGAACUGUUAAUAACAUUCCCUUUACAUUGAAUGUACAGGUUCAGUGGGUUUGUGUUGAAGGUUCUGCUUUGUCAUUAUAGAAAAGGUCAGCAAAUUUUGAAUGUCUUUCUGUAAAAGAAAAGUCCAUGGCCCAUCUUUUAAAUGUAACAACUCCUAAGUUCUUUACAAUAGACAACUAGAGAACUGUAGAGGGGAAAAUAAUUUUUAACUGCUCCCUAUCUCAUUAAGUAUCCUAAGGAUUCUUCUAUUUUAAACACUUAAAAAAAAAAAAAAGGAAUUAACCACAUUGAUGAUAUCCUGGAACAUUUACUGCAUACUUCUUAUUUCAACUUCUUUGCCACAGUAGCUUACUGGUGACUGAAUGACUGGCUAAGUGAUUUUCCCCUAAGUUGCUGUCUCUCUAAAUUUAUCUGAGAAUUCCUUUCCUAGGUAGAGCCCCUGUUCCAUUAGAAAUUACACAGAAUUUAUUAAAGAAGAAAUUUGCUGUUGAGAUUUCAUGUUCUCCAGUAAAACUUCUCUUGAAUUCUUCACAUAUACACACAAAAGGUUUAUUUUAUUUUGGAAAUAGAAUCUAGCAAGGACCAUAGGCAGAGACAUGUAGGAUAUCUGUCUUCUUUUAUCUUUUACCCAACCUUUCCUACUAUAUAAUUUGCUCUAAUACUUCUCUCUUCAUAUAUUAAGCAAUUUUCCCUAUAAUUCUUUCUACAAUAUUUACUGGUUAAGGAUUGCAUUUUAAUUUGUCACUAUGUUGUUUUUUUUUUUUUUUAAAGUCAUUUAUCCAUUUUUACUGUGGGAGGAAUAGCAAAAUUCGGUACGUUAAGUCUUUGCCAUGUAAUAUAACUUUAUUUGUUAGUACUAUGUAGUGGGUAUUGUAAAACAUUGAAAGAAUUGGAUUGAGUAUUGCAUGGCUUUAAACAGGUCUUUAAGAAAUACAGAUAUUUGUCUUUAUGUUCUGAAUGUUUAAGUUUUAGAUGUCUUGUUAAUAGUGAUGGCUUCAUAUUCUCAUAAAUUAUCAGCACAAUAUUUAGGACUGAUUGUUGGUUUUGAUAGUGGACACAAAUCUAUAUUUCAUAAUAAAUUCUUGGUGGUUUUGCAGGUUUUUUCCUCAUAGACAGGAUUAGCAUGACCAACUGAUGUGGUUAAUAGGGUGUUCAUGCUAGGAAAAAAGUGUUCAACUCUACCAUUUUCCUUUUAUGUGCUUAUGUUUACAUUAUUAAUACCCUAAUUCUGCAUUCCUUUGCAGGAAUAUUUCAAAGACUUUUUCCCAUUUGGUGUGGGUUAUUUUGGUUAAAAUAACUCAUUUAAUCAGAUGCCCAUAAACUGCCCUAGAAUUUAAAACAUGGAAAAUAACAAGAAAGAGUGGCUACUGAAAUUCUUAUACCUUUGUGGCAUUGCCUCUGAGGAAGCCUUAACUGGAACACACCUUGAACACUGUAGCAGAUGGAGACCAUCUGACCCAGGGAUAGACUAAGUAUACAGUAUCAGUUUGCAUGUUAAAUAUCAGCAGAGUGCAGCAUCUUUCUCAACUUCUCAAGAUUAAAGAACUUUUUUGCAAUAUUUUUUUUUUUCCUGCACCAAAUAGAUUGUCUUUUACACCCUAUUUUGAAAUUUACUGAUUUAGAGUAUGGUUAAAAAUGUUUUUUUUUUUCUUUCAUAGUCCUUGAAAAUUAAAGUAAUUUGCAUGCUAUUUAAAAUUCCAGCCUUAUGUAACAGUUCACAAUUUUACCAUCACCUUAAUUCCCUCAAAUUUUUUAUUUCCAAGGGUAUCGAACUUUCUGAAUUAAACCACCAUACAAUCUUUGAUAAAUAUUAAGGCAAAGUUUGAUUAAAGUAAUAACCUACAUCCAUGAGAGUGUGAUAGCUAAAUACUAUAAUUAGGACUGUAUAAAUAAGGUAAGCAAUCUGUUUUUAACUUUGCCCUUUUUUGAGGGAUGAGACAAUUUGUUUAUUAGAAAUACUCUUUGUGAAUUAACAUAUAAUUUGUUUACCUCUACUUUGAAGCAGCCUGUUAGUUUUCUUCUUGGGACUUUUAACUUCUUUUUUCAUUGAAACUUUUGAAUAUGCAGACAUAUUCUUGGCAUUUAUUUAAUUUGUAGCCAUUUAAAGAAAAUAAUAGCAUUAAGCUGGAAAAUACUUUAAAAUGCUCAGGUUUGGAUAGAUAAAGGAAUAAUGUUCCCACACAUUUUAAGUUUGAAAAUUUAAUGAUUACUUUCUGUUAUUUGAUGUGUCUUAGAAAUUGUGAGGACUAAUAAUUUCUUCUGGGAAAUUUUCUAACUUACGCUCGCUUAAUUUUUCUCCAACUUUUACUAAUAUUUUAGAGGAAAUAAUUUAAUUCUUUUUUAAAAAUUCUUGUUUUUAACAGUGAUGUUACAUUGCUGUCCUAUAUUUUAGAUGUAAUGGUCAUAGAUAAGUACACACUGUGUAAGAAAAUAAACAUCAUUUCGUGAAAUGGGCUGUAGCACAGGAUGAAUAAAGAAGUUUUGAAAAUUAGCUUCCAUUUCAGUUGUUACCUCUGAUGAUUAAAAGGGAUGUGUGUAUGUGUGUGUGUAUUUUAUACAUGUACGCACACAUAAUCUGGAUCAAAUUGUAUUUAUAUAUUAUACGUAUACAUGUAUUUGUGUGUACCCACAAAAUGUGCACACACAUUUGUAUAUAUGUGUAUAAACACUUUAUUGAUUCUUGACCAGAGGGUACGUGGUAGAUCAGGCAGCUGUAAUUCUAGAUUGCUUUUUAAAAAUUGGUGGUGUGUUCUAGAGCUAAGGGAUCAGGAGGUAGCAGGCGGAGGAGGGGGUGACUAAUGACUGGGUAGGUCUGGGGAGGUGACUGCUACCCCUUUCUUCAUUUUAGUAGUAAAUCAACCUGCUUUUGCUGAAAUGUCUUAUGUUUGCCUUUGAGAAGCUCCUGUUAACUGUGUUGUUCUUUCCAGAAAUAGGAGGGAGAAGGAAGGGGAAUUAUAGAGACAAAAUUUGACUUUUAAAAUCCUAUCUUUGAGAGGAGAAAUUUCAAGUGCGUGGAUUUCAUCUUUUCUACUUAGUGGAUUUUUGAUGGGGUGUUUUUAAAGUUCCCCUUUGUACAUUUGGCUACAUCUACCAAACAUCAGUCCAAACAUUAGUCAAAUAGUAUUUCACUUGCAAUAUUAAUUUUUCUCAUAUAAGUAAGGAAGAAUGUUUCAUUACUGCCAUAGUGCAGUCACUGGGUGUGUUUUGAAGAUGGCCUAGGUGUGAUUUAAUGUGUUGGGAUGUCCUGGGUUUUUCUGUCGACUGGCUACCAUAUAGCUAGUUUCCAUUCGCCGUGAUCAGGUACCAUUUGGAGCCCAAAUCCAAGUCUUCAGGAACUUUUAUUAAGAGACUAAGGCUAUUAAGAGAGGUUUUUUUUUUGUUUUUUUGUUUUUUUGUUUUUUUUUUUAAAGUAGAGUCAUCAGAAUUAAGAGAGAGGGCACUCAUAGUGCAGAGAAAAUGGGAAGAUGGGGUGCCCCUCAUCAUUCAGCAUCAGUUUCUAGUACCCUCAGAUUCCCAAGCACACUAAUGAUGUUCAACAAAAAAACUUUUUUUAAAAAAUAUUUUAUUUAUUUAUUAGCGAGCGAGAGAGAGACAGCGAGAGAGGGAACACAAACAAGGGGAGUGGGAGAGGGAGAAGCAGGCUUCCCGCCUAGCAGGGAGCCCAAUGUGGGGCUCGAUCCCAGGACCCUGGGAUCACGACCUGAGCCGAAGGCAGACACUUAACGACUGAGCCACCCAGGCACCCCUCAACAAGAAAGCUUUUAAUAAUGUGGAUACUGAUGUUCUGCAGGCAAAGUAACGCAUUACUCUAGGGUUAACACAGCUAGCUAAAACAAUUUAGAAACCACUUUCUGGAAAUGGGAUUAAGUUUAUAUUAAAAUCAACUUCACUUUCGAUUUCAGCCAUUACUCUUCAAAGCAGUAUAGAGGGCUACAUGAAAAGUGUUUACUCUCAGAAAUAGUAUACAUUGAAGUGUAGGGUUUUAUUCAUAUUGAUAUCCUUAUGUUUCCCCUCUGUGAAGUUAUUGCUUAUUUGAAGUGAAGAGGUUUUGUUUAAGAUUUUUAAGAUUUUGUUUUGUUUUUUGGGUUUUUUUUUUCUUUUUUUGGAUCAAACCAUUUUAUUGAGGAACUUCAGAGAAAAGUUGAAGGGGAGGAAGACAAUGAGAUCAACAUUCUCGGCCUGCCUGAAAUCUUUCUAGCGUCACAGUUGCCAAAGCUAUUUUAAAAUUUUUUAAUAGAUUUAUAACUAGUAUAUAUUGCAUAGUAUUGCUGUUACCUCUGUUCCAAAUUCACCCAGUAGUAUCUACCUUCCUAACCCAGCUCUGGGCAGCCAUGAUUAAAUUCUUAAUUGUUCUUUCAGACAUUAUAUAUAUUCAAGCAAUUCGAAUUUAUAUUCUUAUUUUUUCACUUUGUUUUAUGCAAAAAGUAGCACACCAUACACACUAUUUUGUCCCUUCCUUUUUUCAUAGAGUAAACAGACUAUUUCCUCAUUCUUUUUUUUAACAAUUGCAUUAUUCUGCAUUAUAUGGAUAGACCAUAUUUUACUUACCCAGUCUCUAAUUAAUGUAUAUUUAAGUUGUUGUUUUUUGCUAAUACUGUGAUGAGUAACCUUGUGCAUAUGUCAUUUCCUAUCUGUGUAAGUUUAUUCAUAAAUUAAAUUCCCAAGAGUAGACUUGCAGUGUCAAAGAGUAUUUGUAAUUUUGAGGAAUAUUGUCACAUUGCCAUACAUGAGGUUUGUACCAAUUUAUGCUCCCACUAGCGACAAAUGAGAGUACUGUUUCCCUACUGGCUUAUCAUUAGAGUAUGCUAUUGAAUUUCUGGAUUUUUGUCCAUCUGCUAGGUGAAAAUUGUAUCCCAGAGUAGUUUUUAUUUGCAUAUUUCUUAUGAGUAACUUUAAGCUUUUCAUAUUGAUUUUUAUUUCCAUGUACUACCAGUUCAUAUUUUUUGCCCAUUUCUAUUGAGUUUUUAUUGUUGGCUGUUGUUAGGCUUUUGUGAUAAGAGGGAGUGGCCAGUAUUUUUCCCAGUUUGAUAUUUGUUUUUCAAUUUUGUGUGUGUGUGUGUGUGUAUGUGCGUGCGUAUUGCCAUGUGGAGGUUUUUUACUUAUAUGGGAUCAAAUUCAUCAGAGUUUCCUUUUAUGACUAAAAUUUUGAGUCAGAAAGACCUCUCUACUACUCAAAAUGUAUAAAGAAGUUAUAUUUUCUUUAGCUAUUGGUUUCAUUUUUUUUCUAUAUGAAUCUUCCACCUCUUUGGAGUACAUUUUUUGGUUCACUGAGUGGAUCCAACUUUACCUUUCUGCAGGUAGCUCCUGUUGUUCUGACAGCAUUUAAUCAAUAUAUUUUCUCCAGAUGAUCAGAGCAUACUCAGAAUGGGUUUAAUUAGAAUAUCCUUUAAUGUUUUGAAUCUGAGGGUGAUAAAUGAAAAAAUGAGUAAUAGAGAAGGUAACAUUUUAUAUUUUUAGUUCCCUUCUGAGUUACCAAACUUUUAAUUAUCUAUAGGUACCCACAAGUUGAAAGGAACUCUUCCCAAACUUUUCUACUAUAUUUGCUAGAGUUUAGUGUAGGUUAUCGUCUGGGUUUAUCUAUCAAAACUUCAUCGUGAAACCAUUUCUACCACUUUCUCUAGAAUUUAGGGGGGAAAAAAAAGACAUUUAUGGUUGGUAGCAUUUAUUUUUUAGUCAAUCAAAUACUACAUAGAAUCCCAGAUUUUUGGUUGUUGACUGGUUCCUGAUUGUUGAAAAAUAAAAAGUGUGUGUGUGUACAUUUUUGUAUGCUGUCAUUUAAAUGGGUAGGUGUUCUUAGAUUGUCAUACUGAGCACUAUGUAUGUCAAUUAUGUGCUAGAUGUUAGAGAUCAGGAAAUACAACAUAGCUCCUGAUCCUAGGUACUAGUUGGCAAACUAUUUUUAAUUGGUGUCUGAGGUUGUUCAUGCAUACUUAUGUAACUAGUUUUCUGAAUUCUCCUCCCCAAAAGACUUUAAGUAGUUAACUUGAGAGCAAACUUAGAAGGUGGAAGAGAUAUGAUAUUCUACUGUGGUUCAUUAUAGCACUGACUGGUAUUGCUUAUGGUGACUUGUAGUUGGAUAUGUCUCCUCUGUUAGCUAUUAGGAUUUCCAGUGGUUUAUGCAAAUUCUGAAUAAUAAUAAAAGAACCACAAGGUUUUAUAAGCUGAUUUCUAUUCUAGUCCACAUUAUUUCAGGAGUGCUUUCUAUUGUUAAAUAUUUCACUCUAUUUUGUUAGGGUACUUUCUUCCUAAUCUGUUUAUCUUCAUAUUUUCAAGUAUGAAAACCUGUUUCUAAUACCAAAAAAAGUCACAGAUAUUUGUGAUUUUUGUAUAUGGUAACUAAGAAAAGACAUGACAAAAACCUAUCAUUUCUUGCAGUGAGAUUGGAGUUGAUACUG